UACGAAGGGGGCUAGCGUUGUUCGGAAUUACUGGGCGUAAAGCGUGCGCAGGCGGUUCGUUAAGUCAGAUGUGAAAGCCCCGGGCUCAACCUGGGAACUGCAUUUGAAACUGGCGGGCUUGAGUAUGGCAGAGGGGGGUGGAAUUCCGCGUGUAGCAGUGAAAUGCGUAGAGAUGCGGAGGAACACCGAUGGCGAAGGCAGCCCCCUGGGCCAAUACUGACGCUCAGGCACGAAAGCGUGGGGAGCAAACAGG
rnacentral:rRNA from 1 species